CCGUACAUGGCUAUGGUAAGAGGAAAAGCUGAUGCUGCAUAGGCAAAAACCUGAUAUGGCUUCUGCCACCUCUGUAAGUGUCGCAUCUGUUAUGAUCAUUAAUAGGUGACUUUUGGGCUUUCAUUUUUGUCUUUAGAAAAUUGUCCCGUGUGAUGGUGAGUCUGUAAAGGUGGCUGAUGCAUACUGUCUUGCUGGAUUGAGAUUUUAUAUAAAAAGAUGUUUUGAACUGCGGCUUCAGUUGUUGUAGUGCUAUCACAAUCUGCAGGGACGCUAAUAUCUCCUAACAUAAACAUACUUUUUAAUUUCUAAUUUGAUGAACUCUUUCCAGAGUAAAUGGUUGCCCCUUCACACUCUUGCCGUAUCAGGAGAAUAUUACAUUAUGCACGCUUUAUCAAAACAUGAAGCUGAUAUUAAUGCUGCGGAUAAGGAUGAUUGGACUGUUCUUGACAAGGCAAUUAUCGGUAAAAACCAGGCCAUUACAGACUAUCUUCUCAGAGAUUCGGCUAAUCCAUUUGUUCGUGAUAAAGGGGUUGGAAGUUUAUGUAUGUUUAUAUAUUGAUCCAGGUCGGUGUUGUGGUAGCUCUUUGCUCUAAAAGAAGUUUUAUGUGGAUACAUGAUGGCACUGCCUCAAUGCAGUAUGCUGUCCGGACAGCUUGAAGUCAAGUAACUGAGGUUCUUUUGUUAUACAACGGUGAUAUAAACCUUCAGGACAAUGUAUGGAUUAAACUUUUGCGAAAAGUGAAAGCACUCUCGAAUGCAAUAUUAAUGGGUCAUAACUAAAUAGAGCUCUUCUUUUCACUUUA